rnacentral:rRNA from 1 species
GGGGGAUCCUCGAGUGCYAUCUUAUGAAGGUGGCUUUUCMWGGUAUAAAAAGCCGWGGGAAUAAGAGGGGGGCAAGACUGGUGUCAGCCGCCGCGGUAACACCAGCCCCUCGAGUGGUGGGGAUGAUUAUUUGGCCUAAAGCGUCCGUAGCCGGCUCAAUAAAUUUUCUCGUUAAWUCCAACGUYUCAAGCGUUGGUSUGCGGGAGAUACUGKUUGGCUAGAGACUGGGAGAGGUCAGCGGUAUUCCGGGGGUAGCGGYGAAAUCCUUUUAUCCCCGGAGGACCACCAGUGGCGAAGGCUGCCGACCAGAACGCGUCUGACGGUCARGGACGAAAGCCGGGGKAUCGAACCGGAUUAGAUACCCGGGUAGUCCCAGCCGUAAACGAUGCAMGCUAGGUGUUGGSUCGUCCUCGAGCMMKGCCAGUGCCSCAAGGGAAGAUGAUAMSCUCGCCGCCUGGCAAGUACCGUUCGCAGGUUGAAAAUUUUWCGAAUUKGC